GGCUGCACGUGGGCUGUGCAAGUUCUUCCUCCAGCCCGUCAACAUGAGGCCCAGAUAGAUCUACGGCCUUCCUUGUCGGUCGGAUUCCCCGCCGGCGGCGGCCGGCGGCCGGCCCCAACUGAUUCUUCCACCCACGCGAGUACGCGACGCUACCAUCGCUUUGAGCCAUUCAUCGCUGAUGCAGCAAGCCGGCGAGUAGUUGACGGCGAACCGAGCGCAACUGCCCGCUGGAAGUGGUCGCUUUUCCCUCCAGGUGGAGCUGGCCGCCGCAACUUGGACCUUCUCCUUCUCCCUUCAGGAUUCUUAUGCCAGGUGGUGCCAGCAGAAGAUACUUACAGCUAAGAGGAAUGUUGAUCUGUUCUCAAUCUCUCCGAUCAUAUUACUCUUGACAUCAGAAAUACUGGAUGAUGUUGAUCCCAGAGAUGUCUCUUUCUUGGCUUCACGCUUCAUGAGACUUUGAUAGAACUCCACGAUCUCCGGCGCACGGUGUACCUUGUCACCACCAGCAAGGCUCCUGGAUAGAGAACCUGGAGGUGGUGGUGGCGGUGGUGGGCCGCCAGGUUUCCCAGGAGGCGGUGGUGGAGGAGGCGCACCAGGUGGACGUGGCGGUGGUACUCCACUUGCAGUAUUCGUAGCCCCUGAAGCAGCAGUGGCUGAUGGCGCGGGAGGUGGCCUGGGAACUCUUGGAGCCCUCUUCUCAAUGUUGGCAAGCUUCAACUGGCUCACCACCAGGGUGUUGUUCUGGUUGUCACUAGAUUGCUCACUGGGUUCAGCAUUAGCUGCAGGGGCCCUCUCCUUAAUCUGAGAGAGUUUUGGAGGGAGUGCACCUUUUGGAGGGGAAACAAGAGCUGAACUAUGUCCACCACCAAAUCUUUGCGCUCUUACUUGCCCAGCCUUCUCUUUUAUCGCCUUCUCCCGUUCAGUUGCAAGCUUGUGCCUAUCUUUGUAAACGGGAUACUUCUCACCAGCAAAACCUUCGACAGUCUUUGACAUCAGAUGGAAUGAGGAUGCAACAUUUGCCUCAUCCAAGGCGUCAUUGGGAUCAUGUUCCCUCUUUCCAAAUGUCGUUAUGGCUAUACCAUCUCCUGCAUUUUUUAGCAUGAGAGCUUCCAGGGGACCCUUUGGUUUGUGGUUGGUACUUUGCCUCCUUGGAGAGCCACUGGUCAGGGAGCGUGUUGGGGAAGCUAAACUGCUGCUGUCAUCCUUGCUCCUUCCCCACUUCUUGAGCUUUAGCAUCAGAUUAGGCCUUUUGCUUAGGAAGCUGUAUCUGCUGGAAGAACUGUCAAUUGAAAUGUUGUCAAAGUCUUCGCUUCCGGGUGAAGAAGGCAUAGAGGAAGCACUCUCAAGGUCAGUGUCACCCUGACCUCGUUCAGAUCCUGCAUACUCCAACAUCAACUGUUUGGCCCUCUCCUGUGACUUCGGGCUCAGGGUCCUGUUAAGGUCACGGGCAGAGACUUUCCCUGAUGGUGUCUGGUAGUUCCGGAGCUCGAAUCUCAGACAAGCAUUGACCCAACGCAGGUAAACCAGCUCCUCGACUUCACUGAACCUGUUCAUCUGCAGGCCUUCCACUUGCUUUGUAAGGUCCUCAUUUGUAUGCCUCAGCUUGUUUAUCUCUUCUCUUGCGUGGGCAACUACAUCACUC